GAUGAACGCUGGCGGCGUGCUUAACACAUGCAAGUCGAACGGAACUCCUAUGAUUGAGGUUUCGGCCAAAAGAAUAGGAUGUUUAGUGGCGGACGGGUGAGUAACGCGUGAGCAACCUGCCUUGGAGUGGGGAAUAACACAGUGAAAACUGUGCUAAUACCGCAUAAUGCAUUUGGGUCGCAUGAUCCUGAAUGCCAAAGAUUUAUCGCUCUGAGAUGGACUCGCGUCUGAUUAGCUAGUUGGCGGGGUAACGGCCCACCAAGGCGACGAUCAGUAGCCGGACUAGGGGGUUGGCCGGCCACAUUGGGACUGAGACACGGCCCAGACUCCUACGGGAGGCAGCAGUGGGGAAUAUUGGGCAAUGGGCGCAAGCCUGACCCAGCAACGCCGCGUGAAGGAAGAAGGCUUUCGGGUUGUAAACUUCUUUUGGCAGGGACGAAGCAAGUGACGGUACCUGACGAAUAAGCCACGGCUAACUACGUGCCAGCAGCCGCGGUAA
rnacentral:rRNA from 1 species